rnacentral:ncRNA from 2 species
UAGUUCCUUCGGGGUCGGGUGCAAAUCCCAACCGGCGGUGAUCAAGAUUCGUCUUGCUAGCCCGCGACCCGCAGAGCAUGCUCUUGCGGUUGAUUUGGUGAGAAACCAGAGCCGACGGUAAAAGUCCGGAUGGGAGAAGGAAUAA